rnacentral:rRNA from 1 species
UACGGAGGGUGCGAGCGUUGUCCGGAAUCACUGGGCGUAAAGGGCGCGUAGGUGGCGGUCCAAGUCAACGGUGAAAGCUCGGGGCUCAACCCCGAGUCGGCCGUCGAUACUGGGUUGCUUGAGCACUGUAGAGGCAGAUGGAAUUCCGGGUGUAGCGGUGGAAUGCGUAGAGAUCCGGAAGAACACCGGUGGCGAAGGCGGUCUGCUGGGCAGUAGCUGACACUGAGACACGAAGGCCAGGGGAGCAAACGGG